rnacentral:tRNA from 1 species
ACAUCUUUAGCUAAAUUGGAAAUAGUGUUUGUGUUCGAAGCAAGUGGAUAUUGGUUCAAAUCCAAUAAGAUGUU